GCUGUAGCCUGAUAUUGAAUUUUGGUACAGUUUGUACAGGAUAGGCGGGAGCCAUUGAAACCGGAGCGCUAGCUUCGGUGGAGGCGCUGGUGGGAUACCGCCCUGACUGUAUUGAAAUUCUAACCUACGGGUCUUAUCGACCCGGGAGACAGUGUCAGGUGGGGAGUUUGACUGGGGCGGUCGCCUCCGACAGAGUACCGGAGC
rnacentral:rRNA from 1 species